GGUAAAGUGGCCGAAUGUCAGGCAGUAGGCUGUAGUCCUACCUACAGGGGUUUAAUUCCUUUCUUUAUC
rnacentral:tRNA from 1 species